rnacentral:lncRNA from 1 species
AUACCCUUGUAUUUCUACCUGACUCCGUAUUGGUAAUUUCCCACUAUAUCUGGUUGUCAGAAGCAGGAUAUUGGAAACCUACACCCCAUUUGGGACAGGCUGUGGGUUCCAUCGGGCCCUCGGCCUAGACCCGGAAAGCGCCCUCUCUCCACAGGUGCUCCCAGCUAGCAGCCGACCUGCUGCCGCUGAGCUGCUCAGGACCAUCCACCCAGCUUGGAGACAGUUUCUAGCUGCCUAGAGCUGACCAACUGCUGCCAAAUGCUGCGGACUCACUGAACACCUGUGCCACCCUCUGGUCAAAGAUAUUUACUGCAUCUGGAGUAGAAAUCAGAAACUAGGUACAAAUGAUGGACCUUCAGAGGAGUCAAAGGCCCUGCCAUUGAAGUGGCUUACAGAUGAACCAGUUUGGAAAGGACAAUGGCCAAUGACCUCAGAGAAGCUAGAGGCUUUAGAAAAGUUAGUACAGGAACAGCUAGAUGCUGGACAUAUAGAGGAAUCUACCAGUCCUUGGAAUUCUCCUGUAUUUGUCAUCAAAAAGAAG